GAAAUGCGAUAAGUAAUGUGAAUUGCAGAAUUCAGUGAAUCAUCGAAUCUUUGAACGCACAUUGCGCCCGCCAGUAUUCUGGCGGGCAUGCCUGUUCGAGCGUCAUUUCAACCAUCAAGCCCCCGGCUUGUGUUGGGGACCUGCGGCUGCCCGCAGGCCCUGAAAAACAGUGGCGGGCUCGCUGUCACACCGAGCGUAGUAGCAUACAUUCUCGCUCAGGGCGUGCUGCGGGUUCCGGCCGUUAAACGACCUUCAUAACCCAAGGUUGACCUCGGAUCAGGUAGGAAGCCCCGCUGAACUUAAGC
rnacentral:misc_RNA from 1 species